UGGGGAAUUUUGGACAAUGGGCGAAAGCCUGAUCCAGCAAUGCCGCGUGUGUGAAGAAGGCCUUCGGGUUGUAAAGCACUUUUGUCCGGAAAGAAAUCCUUGGCUCUAAUACAGUCGGGGGAUGACGGUACCGGAAGAAUAAGCACCGGCUAACUACGUGCCAGCAGCCGCGGUAAUACGUAGGGUGCAAGCGUUAAUCGGAAUUACUGGGCGUAAAGCGUGCGCAGGCGGUUUGCUAAGACCGAUGUGAAAUCCCCGGGCUCAACCUGGGAACUGCAUUGGCGACUGGCAGGCUAGAGUAUGGCAGAGGGGGGUAGAAUUCCACGUGUAGCAGUGAAAUGCGUAGAGAUGUGGAGGAAUACCGAUGGCGAAGGCAGCCCCCUGGGCCAAUACUGACGCUCAUGCACGAAAGCGUGGGGAGCAAACAGGAUUAGAUACCCUGGUAGUCCACGCCCUAAACGAUGUCAACUAGUUGUUGGGGAUUCAUUUCCUUAGUAACGUAGCUAACGCGUGAAGUUGACCGCCUGGGGAGUACGGUCGCAAGAUUAAAACUCAAAGGAAUUGACGGGGUCAUAGCUGUUUCCU
rnacentral:rRNA from 1 species